rnacentral:rRNA from 1 species
UACGGGGGGGGCAAGCGUUGUUCGGAAUUACUGGGCGUAAAGGGCUCGUAGGUGGCCAACUAAGUCAGACGUGAAAUCCCUCGGCUUAACCGGGGAACUGCGUCUGAUACUGGAUGGCUUGAGUUUGGGAGAGGGAUGCGGAAUUCCAGGUGUAGCGGUGAAAUGCGUAGAUAUCUGGAGGAACACCGGUGGCGAAGGCGGCAUCCUGGACCAACACUGACGCUGAGGAGCGAAGCCAGGGAGCAAACGGG